rnacentral:rRNA from 1 species
GACGAACGCUGGCGGCGUGCUUAACACAUGCAAGUCGAACGGAAAGGCCCUGCUUUUGUGGGGUGCUCGAGUGGCGAACGGGUGAGUAACACGUGAGUAACCUGCCCUUGACAUUGGGAUAACUUCAGGAAACUGGGGCUAAUACCGGAUAGGAGCUCCUGCUGCAUGGUGGGGGUUGGAAAGUUUCGGCGGUUGGGGAGGGACUCGCGGCUUAUCAGCUUGUUGGUGGGGUAGUGGCUUACCAAGGCUUUGACGGGAAGCCGGCCUGAGAGGGUGACCGGACACAUUGGGACUGGGAUACGGCCCAGACUCCUACGGGAGGCAGCAGUGGGGAAUAUUGCACAAUGGGCGGAAGCCUGAUGCAGCAACGCCGCGUGCGGGAUGACGGCCUUCGGGUUGUAAACCGCUUUCGCCUGUGACGAAGCGUGAGUGACGGUAAUGGGUAAAGAAGCACCGGCUAACUACGUGCCAGCAGCCGCCGCGG